CUUCAGGAAACUGUGGGCUAAUACCGGAUAGGAGCUCCUGCUGCAUGGUGGGGGUUGGAAAGUUUCGGCGGUUGGGGAUGGACUCGCGGCUUAUCAGCUUGUUGGUGGGGUAGUGGCUUACCAAGGCUUUGACGGGUAGCCGGCCUGAGAGGGUGACCGGCCACAUUGGGACUGAGAUACGGCCCAG
rnacentral:rRNA from 1 species